CCUCUGCCUCUUCAUUUUUUCGGAGACCUACAGCUUCUGUUUUCUAGAGAUUUCCCCCCUUCGACUAUUGUGGAAAUGUUUUGUGCACGGAAGAUCUUCAAUAACAGUUCAAAGCUUGGAUGAAGUUUUAUGUAUAUUAUGAU